CCUACGGGAGGCAGCAGUGGGGAAUAUUGGUCAAUGGGCGCAAGCCUGACCCAGCAACGCCGCGUGAAGGAAGAAGGCUUUCGGGUUGUUAACUUCUUUUUUGAGGGACGAAAAACGUGAUGCUACCUCAGGAAUAAGCCACUGCUAAAUACGUGCCAGCAGCCGCGGUAAUACGGAGGCGGCAAGCGUUAUCCGGAUUGAUUGGGUGUAAAGGGGGUGUAGGCGGGAAGGUAAGUGAGAUGUGAAAACUCAGGGCUCAACCCUGAGACUGGAUUUGAUACUGUUUUUCUUCAGUGCUGGUGCGGCAGGCGGAAGUGAGGGUGUAGCGGUGAAAGGCGUAGAUAUGAGACGGAACACCGGUGGCGAAGGCGGCUUACCGAACUGUAACUGACGUUGAGGCUCGAAAGCGUGGGGAGCAAACAGGAUUAGAUACCCGAGUAGUC
rnacentral:rRNA from 1 species